rnacentral:rRNA from 1 species
GACGAACGCUGGCGGCGUGCUUAACACAUGCAAGUCGAACGGGUCUGCCCUGUUUUUUGCGGGGUGGGUCAGUGGCGAACGGGUGAGUAACACGUGAGUAACCUGCCCCUCACUUCUGGAUAACCGCUUGAAAGGGUGGCUAAUACGGGGUGUUCUGGCUGUGCCGCAUGGUGUGGCUGGGAAAGAUUCACUUUUGUGGUGUUUUGGUGGGGGAUGGGCUCGCGGCCUAUCAGCUUGUUGGUGGGGUGAUGGCCUGCCAAGGCUUUGACGGGUAGCCGGCCUGGGAGGGUGGGCGGUCACACUGGGACUGAGAUACGGCCCAGACUCCGGCGGGAGGCAGCAGUGGGGGGUAUUGCACAAUGGGCGGAAGCGUGAUGCAGCGACGUCGCGGGAGGGAUGGAGGCCUGCGGGUUGUGAACCUCUUUCGCCGGUGAAGAAGGUCCUGCUCUUUGGGGUGGGGUUGACGGUAGCCGGGUUAUGAAGCGCCGGCUAACUACGUG